AAUUUCAUAAAGUAUGAGGGUUAAUUCCACAUCAUACUUUAAGUAAAAGUAAAUUUACGGUAAAGUAAAGGCAAUUAUUAGUGGGUUCUUAUCAACACCACGAUUAAAUAGUAUAAUAUUAUUAUACUGAUAUAUUAGUGGAAUAUCACGCAUGCUCCAGGCGAAUUCAUGCCCCUCCUUUUUCCACUGCUAUCACUGUACCUGCACCAAUUGGUUUAUUAAAUACUGUAGAGAAAUAAUAAAGUAAUUUUGUUGAGCACUGAGAAUAAAGAAAGUGAUAACAGCUCCGUCCUUCCUUUUGUUGAGCACUGAGAAUAAAGAAUCUUUUCUUGACCCUUUUUCUCUUUCGGCGCCAUUUCGUCAGCCUCCUCAGCCUUCUGGCCCUGAUCCUUGGUCACCGAACCAUGGACUCCAAACCUCGAAGUCGCCCUAGAAUUAGAACUAGCCUUGGGUGAUCUGCCUCUUGGGCUCGAGCCGUUUCUGCCUCACAAGACUCUUGAUGCACAUCACAGGCUUACUUCCCUGGCUCUGCUUGCAGCUUAGCAAGGAUCCGGUGAUGGGGCCUGCUUCGCCACUCCAACAGCAGUUCCAGAAAGCUUGCUCUGUUGCUUUAUGCAGGGGACUUGAUGAUCUGAACUUCCUGAGCUAUGAAUGGACAAAGCCGGAGACACCACAGUGUUUGAGCCAGCUUUGAAAAGUCGAACUUCGGUUUGAGGAAGGUGAGUAAUAAACGUCCAGGUGUUGGUGUCUGACUUUGUCCUGCUCACAUGAUGGUCCUGUAGAGGCUUCAGCUGACUGUAAAUCUCAUCGAGGCUCUGCUCUUCUUCUGGUUCUGGUUCUGGGCUUUCUGGGUGUUCAUGGUCUUCAAAAUGGUCUUCAUGCGUUGUUUAUUUCACGAUGACCCAGAAACCGAAGGCAGGCAGAGGAGAAGUUCUAGUGCUGUGGGGGAGGAGACCACUAUGGCGGGAGUUCCCAGAAGUGCUAGAAACAGUGAAAAAAGGUGAAGUGAUAAUGCUACUCCAGAAAAGGAGCAGAGGAGAACACAUGGAGAUGCAUGAAGAAGAACAAGGACUACAUAGCCGUACUCUCUGGGGAGCAAUUCAACUGCGGUGGCCAUUUGGUUUCUGGGUAUUGUAUCCGGAGUUUGUUCGGAUAUGCAAGGAGGGUCACAAAACAAAGAAGAAACAAAGAGAGAAGUGUUUGUUUGGCUGGGUUUCAUCAGAGAAUUCAGCUGGUAUUGUUAAAGCGAAUUCGUGCUGAUAACGUGUUAUAAACUAAAUAGAAAUUGGAGAGGGAAUUGAGAUAGAGAGAAAUUGGAGAAACUGAUUUCUCAUUUAGAGUUUUCUUCUUCUCAUAUGUGUGUGUGUAUUACAAAUGGGGAGAAGCCUUAUUUAUAGGCAUUUGGGCUCCACUCAACAUUUACAACAAGGUCAAAUAUUUUCUAUUAUUUGGAGAUUA